rnacentral:rRNA from 1 species
GAUGAACGCUGGCGGCGUGCCUAAUACAUGCAAGUCGAGCGAAUGGAUUAAGAGCUUGCUCUUAUGAAGUGAGCGGCGGACGGGUGAGUAACACGUGGGUAACCUGCCCAUAAGACUGGGAUAACUCCGGGAAACCGGGGCUAAUACCGGAUAACAUUUUGAACCGCAUGGUUCGAAAUUGAAAGGCGGCUUCGGCUGUCCCGUAUGGAUGGACCCGCGUCGCAUGAGCUAGUUGGUGCGGUAACGGCUCACCAAGGCAACGAUGCGUAGCCGACCUGAGAGGGUGAUCGGCCACAAUGGGACUGAGACACGGCCCAGACUCCUACGGGAGGCAGCAGUAGGGAAUCUUCCGAAAUGGACGAAAGUCUGACGGAGCAACGCCGCGUGAGUGAUGAAGGCUUUCGGGUCGUAAAACUCUGUUGUUAGGGAAGAACAAGUGCUAGUUGAAUAAGCUGGCACCUUGACGGUACCUAACCAGAAAGCCACGGCUAACUACGUGCCAGCCGCCGCGGUAA